GUUUGAUCCUGGCUCAGGAUGAACGCUGGCGGCGUGCCUAAUACAUGCAAGUCGAACGAGGUGCUUUUGUAGCAAUACGAAAGUAUCCUAGUGGCGAACGGGUGAGUAACGCGUUGGUGACCUGCCCCAAAGUGUGGGAUAACAGUCCGAAAGGAUUGCUAAUACCUCAUGUGGUCAUCGGGUUUAGAAACCGAUGACUAAAGCAGCAAUGCGCUUUGGGAGGGGCCUGCGUCCCAUCAGCUAGUUGGUGAGGUAAUGGCUCACCAAGGCGACGACGGGUAGGGGACCUGAGAGGGUGGCCCCCCACAAUGGAACUGAAACACGGUCCAUACACCUACGGGUGGCAGCAGUAGGGAAUAUUGCUCAAUGGGCGAAAGCCUGAAGCAGCAACGCCGCGUGCGCGAUGAAGGUCUUCGGAUCGUAAAGCGCUUUUAUGAGGGAUGAGAAAGGACAGUACCUCAGGAAUAAGUCUCGGCUAACUACGUGCCAGCAGCCACGGUAAAACGUAGGAGGCAAGCGUUAUCCGGAUUCACUGGGCGUAAAGCGCGUGCAGGCGGUUCGGUAAGUUGGGCGUGAAAUCUCCUGGCUUAACUGGGAGAGGUCGUCCAAUACUACCGGACUUGAGAGUGAUAGAGGAAGAUGGAAUUCCCGGUGUAGUGGUGAAAUGCGUAGAUAUCGGGAGGAACACCAGUGGCGAAAGCGAUCUUCUGGAUCAUUUCUGACGCUCAGACGCGAAAGCUAGGGUAGUAAACGGGAUUAGAGACCCCGGUAAUCCUAGCCGUAAACGAUGUAAACUUGGCGUUGGUGGCUUAAACACCAUCAGUGCCGCAGCUAACGCGAUAAGUUUACCGCCUGGGGACUACGAUCGCAAGAUUAAAACUCAAGGAAUUGACGGGGGCCCGCACAAGCAGCGGAGCGUGUGGUUUAAUUCGAUGCUACACGAAGAACCUUACUCGGGUUUGACAUGCAA
rnacentral:rRNA from 1 species